UACGGAGGGUGCGAGCGUUGUCCGGAAUCAUUGGGCGUAAGGGGCGCGUAGGUGGCCCGGUCAGUUCGUGGUGAAAGCGCGGGGCUCAACCCUGCGUCGGCCAUGAAUACUGCCGCGGCUGGAGCACUGUAGAGGCAGGCGGAAUUCCGGGUGUAGCGGUGGAAUGCGUAGAUAUCGGGAGGAACACCUGUGGCGAAAGCGGCGCACUGGACCACAACUGAUGCUGAGGCGCGAAAGCUAGGGGAGCAAACAGG
rnacentral:rRNA from 1 species